UACGGGGGGUGCAAACGUUGCUCGGAAUUAUUGGGCGUAAAGCGCACGUAGGCGGUCUUGUAAGUCGGGUGUGAAAGCCCGGGGCUUAACCCCGGAAGUGCACUCGAAACUGCAAGGCUUGAGUAUGGAAGAGGGUCUCGGAAUUCCCGGUGUAGAGGUGAAAUUCGUAGAUAUCGGGAGGAACACCGGUGGCGAAGGCGGAGACCUGGGCCAAUACUGACGCUGAGGUGCGAAAGCGUGGGGAGCAAACAGG
rnacentral:rRNA from 1 species